GACGAACCGUGCGAACGUUAUUCGGAAUCACUGGGCUUAAAGCGUGUGUAGGCGGAUGCCUAAGUACCUUGUGAAAUCCCACGGCUUAACCGUGGAACUGCUUGGUAUACUGGGUGUCUUGAGCCAUCUAGGGGCCUGCGGAACAAACGGUGGAGCGGUGAAAUGCGUAGAUAUCGUUUGGAACGCCAACGGUGAAAACAGCAGGCUGGGGGAUGUGCUGACGCUGAGACACGAAAGCCAGGGG
rnacentral:rRNA from 1 species